CGCGCAGGAGGGCUCUCCGGAAGUGGCCUGUGUUCCUCGGCGUGCUUGGGUGCUGAGCUGCUAGCGAUCGUGAAGGGCUGCAGGGACAGUUGAAGGGCAAAGACCGGCGUGUUGGUUCAUGCAAAGGAAAUAAAAACUGGAUCGCUGACAUUCCAGGAUGUGGCCGUGGACUUCACCCCAGAAGAGUGGCAGCUGCUGGACUGUGAUCAGAGAACCUUGUAUUGGGAUGUGAUGCUGGAGAACUUUAGAAACCUCACCGCAGUGGAAGUUAUCUGCUUACUUGCUGAUGCACUAGAGAGACAGGAGGGAAGCAAAGACAAUUUUUUGAAUCAAGAUAUGUUCACCUUCAAGAAAACACUGACCAUGAAGAGAGUCCAAAAUCGUAAUCUGAAUAUAAAAUUUAUUUCUUCAAGACAAACACAACAUAAAUGUGAGUCAAAUGGAAAGAGUCUGCAACCUAAUUCACAUUGGCUUAGU